rnacentral:lncRNA from 1 species
CCGUUGGUUGUAAAGCCAGGCAUAAACCAAACCCAAGGUCGAAGUACUGCUCCUGGCACCCCAUGCCUUGAUGCGUACAGCGGUCGGAGCUUCACUAUUCCCUCGACCUCCACAGCACGUCGCACAGUUAGCUCUCGGGCUCUGUGUGUGAUCCUAGCCGCCACUCACGGUUGUCGGAGUAACACUUCCGCCCCACUAAACCCACACAAACCUCCUAUCCCUCUAGCCCCCGGCAAAACCAAACCUAAGGUCGAAGUGCUGCUCCUGGCACCCCACGCCUCGAUGCGUAUAGUGGUCGGAGCUUCACUGUUCCCUCGACCUCCACAGCACGCCGCACAGUUAGCUCUUGGGCUCUGUGUGAUCCUAACCAUUCCGCUGGCACUCACGGUUGUCGGAGUAACACUUCCGCCCCACUAAACCCACACAAACUUCCUAUCCCUCUAACCGUUAUGCUGUCUAUUGACACUGGCUAGAGAAGAUACCAAUUUUAGUCGUUAUACUGCCCAACUCUAGCAACGACUAGCAAACACCCAAAUCCCAGCCGAUAUUCAUCCUACCUCGAUAUCGGCUUAAUCAAAUGAAACCCCAGCCAGUCUGCUAUCCAAACUCCAUACCAACCAUUUACCCUCCAACUACCCAUAACCUAUACAUGAAAUACGAGCCGAUAUGCUAUCCUAUUUCAGCAUCGACUCGAGAACAAGUAAAUCCUAGCCAUUCUUCUACCAAAGCCCAACUACGACCAAUACUAGCCACAUAUCCACUUAACCAAUUAGAUUAUUUAGUAUAUCCCCUACUCUCCA